rnacentral:rRNA from 1 species
UACGUAGGGUGCGAGCGUUGUCCGGAAUUAUUGGGCGUAAAGAGCUCGUAGGCGGUCUGUCGCGUCUGCUGUGAAAACCCGAGGCUCAACCUCGGGCCUGCAGUGGGUACGGGCAGACUAGAGUGCGGUAGGGGAGAAUGGAAUUCCUGGUGUAGCGGUGAAAUGCGCAGAUAUCAGGAAGAACACCCGUGGCUAAGGCGGUUCUCUAGUACGGUACUGACGCUGAGACGCGAAAGCGUGGGGAGCGAACAGG